GACGAACGCUGGCGGCGUGCUUAACACAUGCAAGUCGAACGAUGAAGCUGGAGCUUGCUCCGGUGGAUUAGUGGCGAACGGGUGAGUAACACGUGAGUAAUCUGCCCUUGACUCUGGGAUAACUGCGGGAAACUGUAGCUAAUACCGGAUACGACACCUUCGGGCAUCCGAUGGGUGUGGAAAGAAUUUCGGUCAAGGAUGAACUCGCGGCCUAUCAGCUAGUUGGGGAGGUAAUGGCUCACAAAGGCGACGACGGGUAGCCGGCCUGAGAGGGUGACCGGCCACACUGGGACUGAGACACGGCCCAGACUCCUACGGGAGGCAGCAGUGGGGAAUAUUGCACAAUGGGCGAAAGCCUGAUGCAGCAACGCCGCGUGAGGGAUGAAGGCCUUCGGGUUGUAAACCUCUUUUAGUUGGGAAGAAGCGAAAGUGACGGUACCAACAGAAAAAGCACCGGCUAACUACGUGCCAGCAGCCGCCGUAA
rnacentral:rRNA from 1 species